UACAGAGGUCCCAAGCGUUGUUCGGAUUCACUGGGCGUAAAGGGUGCGUAGGUGGUUAGGUAAGUCCGAUGUGAAAUCUCCAGGCUCAACCUGGAAAUGGCAUUGGAUACUAUCUAGCUUGAGGAGUGGAGGGGGGACUGGAAUUCUCGGUGUAGCAGUGAAAUGCGUAGAUACCGAGAGGAACACCAGUGGCGAAGGCGAGUCCCUGGACACUUCCUGACACUGAGGCACGAAAGCUAGGGGAGCAAACAGG
rnacentral:rRNA from 1 species